CCCCUACUCGGGGGUCAUGAUGGGCAGCAAGAUGGCUUCCGCCACCAGGGUCAUGCAGGUAGUGAAGCCACAUGCUCUGUUAAUAAAGUUCCCUAACAGAAGAGACAAACCUAAGCUCAGUGCCUCGGAAGCUUUGAGAUCUGCUGUGCUACCCUCCCACUCCUCUGUAAUUUCCCAGCAUUCUAAAGGAAAUUUGUCCCCAAAUUUACUGAUGCACAGGGGCCACCAGACACUGCAGAAAUAAUAAAAUCAUUACCUCGGAAAUACAGGAGGAAACCUAUGUCUCAGGAGGAAAUGGAAUUUAUCCAGCGUGGGGGUCUAGAGUGAUCGUCGUCGGGGCUGCUGCUUGUCACCAGACAGAAGGAUUAGCUUUACAAUAAAGGACUUCCACAAUGUCAAAUGAAAAGUCAUAUAUUAAACAACCUUAAUAAAUGUUCUGUAAGCAGAAUGAAGUAUAGAAACUCCAGGCGGUCACUUGAAUCUCCUACCUUAUGUAUCUUGGUCACUUCCCUACAAGCUGGCCUAUACCCUUAUGAAAGUGUACGUUUUUAAAUGCUAGCCUAUUAACUUACUCUUGAUUAUGAAGUGUUACCGGUGAUGAGUUAUUAAAAGCACAUGGUAUCUAAAAAAAAAAAAA
rnacentral:lncRNA from 1 species